AUGUCAGUGGAAGGGUAUGUUGGGGUGGGGGCUUCUUUUGUGUGAUUUCGGUACGGUACGAGUUUGAAACUAAAAUCUUAUAAGUUUCCUCCCUUUGUGUAGAUAAAUGUGUCUAAACUAUUGGACCUCGGGGAAAUAGAAAUUUUAAAGAAUUUUUAAACAUGUAUGCCACAAGCAGCAUCACAGCAAAACUGGUCACGUCUAAACAGAAUUAAAAAUCUACGACUUUAUUAGUUGGCAAAAGUUUCCAUAGCACCGCCUCACUAGCCUGUCACGUGGGCCAUGACAUCACUUAUCUAUAUUUUCCACAGUUCACUGUUGCAGCUCGGUGCCAAUGUUUUCAUAUAUAUUAUGACGUCCUGGAGAAACGACGUGAGUGAGACAUCAACAUGAGCUAACAUUUGGCUUGAUGUGGACAUAAGUACUUAGAAGUUCUCCAGUGGAUCAAAGUCUUGCGUUCUUUGUAAUGAUUAUAGUUGCUUACCUAACAGGAAAUACACUGUCGUUCUAAGAGGAAUGUUGUCACGUGAUGUGCUUGUCAAGAUCACGUGAGAAAUAGAACUCAACGCUUGUAUUGGGUUCCGUAGCUUUGAGUUUCUACAUUGAAUAGUAAUUAUGUAGCUAAGUGAAUUGGAUUCUACAAUCAUGUAUUCCAUUUCUUCUACUAGAAGUUUCCGGCUGACUGGCUGUUGGACUGAUUCCAUCUUCUUUGAACAUGUGCUAUCACAGACAAUGAAAUACUCUCUAGUCAAAACGUUUUUGCUGGAACAAGACGGAGGUAGAGAGAAGGAGGUUGGGGGGCGCCUUACUCCUGCCUUCUUCCAAUUCUGUUGUAAUACCAGCUGUCCACCAGCUGCCUUGCCAUUGUUUAUCUGCUGCAGGCUUUGUCUUCAGAUUAAAAAAACAAAACUGCCAACUCUCGUGACAAGAAUGUGGGCAUGGCCUUAAAGACAUGUUUGAACCAGAACAAACUUAGUAAUGCCGUACACACAUUUCCUUUGACGUCACUUACACUCUGGACAGAUCCUUUGGGUCUGGAUAAGAAGUAGAUCGUGGCAGAAAUAAGGGAUCUCUCCCCCCCCCCCACUCCCUGGAAUAAGUUGAACUCAAACCACCAAUACCUAAUUAUUAUUAUUAUUCCUGUGAUUCUAACGUUAUUAAAGAGAUCACUUAA